CAUCAUGGGAUGUUUAUCAAAAUGGGAAUAGGCUUGCAUUUCCAGGUAAUCGAAAUGGUCUUCAUGGUUCAAGUUGGGCACAUAAUUUUGGUUUGAAACAAGGGAAUCCAGCAGAGGUUUGUGGUUCACAAAACACAACAAAUAAUAUGCAAGAGCUUGUUAAUGGGGUUAGAGAAGAGUUAAGGCUGAAUCAAUUCCAGCCACAAAAGCAGGUGAAUAUGCAAAUUGAUUUUUCGGGUGCAACUUCGGGGCCUUCUGUGGUUGGCCGGCCAGUUAAUGUGGAAUCGGAGCACUCAGAUGUUGAAGCGUCAUGUAAAGAAGAUCGACUUGGCACAGCUGAUGACAGGAGGCCUCGUAAACGGGGCAG
rnacentral:misc_RNA from 1 species